GCUUGUCUCAAAGAUUAAGCCAUGCAUGUCUAAGUAUAAACAAAUCUAUACUGUGAAACUGCGAAUGGCUCAUUAUAUCAGUUAUAGUUUAUUUGAUGGUUCUUGCUACUUGGAUAACCGUAGUAAUUCUAGAGCUAAUACAUGCAUCAAACCCCGACUUCUGGAAGGGGUGUAUUUAUUAGAUGGAAACCAAUGCGGGGCAACCCGGAUUCUGGUGACUCUGAAUAACUUUGGGCUGAUCGUAUGGCCUUGUGCCGACGACGUUUCCUUCGAAGGUGUGCCCUAUCAACUGUCGACUGUGAUAUAGACGCUCACAGUGGUUUUGACGGGUAACGGGGAAUCAGGGUUCGAUUCCGGAGAGGGAGCCUUAAAAACGGCUACCACAUCCAAGGAAGGCAGCAGG
rnacentral:rRNA from 1 species